AUAUGCCUUAUGGUGGGGGACAACAGUUGGAAACGACUGCUAAUACCGCAUAAUGUCUACGGACCAAAGGGGGGGAUCUUCGGACCUCUCGCCAUUUGAUUAGCCCAAGUGAGAUUAGCUAGUUGGUAAGGUAAUGGCUUACCAAGGCGACGAUCUCUAGCUGGUUUGAGAGGAUGAUCAGCCACACUGGGACUGAGACACGGCCCAGACUCCUGCGGGAGGCAGCAGUGGGGAAUAUUGCACAAUGGGCGAAAGCCUGAUGCAGCCAUGCCGCGUGUGUGAAGAAGGCCUUCGGGUUGUAAAGCACUUUCAGUAAGGAGGAAAGGGGAGUAGUUAAUAGCUGCUUUCUGUGACGUUACUUACAGAAGAAGCACCGGCUAACUUCGUGCCAGCAGCCGCGGUAAUACGAGGGGUGCAAGCGUUAAUCGGAAUUACUGGGCGUAAAGCGUUCGUAGGCGGUUGAAUAAGCAAGAUGUGAAAGCCCAGGGCUCAACCUUGGAACUGCAUUUUGAACUGUUCGACUAGAGUACUGUAGAGGGUGGUGGAAUUUCCAGUGUAGCGGCGAAAUGCGUAGAGAUUGGAAGGAACAUCAGUGGCGAAGGCGGCCACCUGGACAGAUACUGACGCUGAGGAACGAAAGCGUGGGGAGCGAACAG
rnacentral:rRNA from 1 species